rnacentral:rRNA from 1 species
GAGACUCUGUGCGCGUGCAUAUCAAUAAGCGGAGGAAAAGAAACUAACAAGGAUUCCCUUAGUAACGGCGAGUGAAGCGGGAAGAGCUCAAAUUUGAAAUCUUCAAGGUUCUACCUUGACGAAUUGUAGUUUAUAGAAGUGUUUUCUGUUAGUGGAGUGGCAAAAGUUCUUUGGAAUAGGACAUCAUAGAGGGUGAGAAUCCCGUAUUUGGUCAUUCCUCCUAGCGUUGUGAUACACUUUCAAAGAGUCGGAUUGUUUGGGAAUGCAGUCCAAAAUGGGUGGUAAAUUUCAUCUAAAGCUAAAUAUUGGCGAGAGACCGAUAGCGAACAAGUACCGUGAGGGAAAGAUGAAAAGAACUUUGAAAAGAGAGUUAAACAGUACGUGAAAUUGUCGAAAAGGGAAGCGUUUGACACCAGUGUUGUUUUUUCGAAAAUCAAUUACGAAUAGUUUUUGAUUUCUAAGGAGUUAUUGACUUCAUCAGCUUGCUUCUUUCUUCUCAUGAAAAUUUAUUGAAUGCACUUUUCAGGUUAACAAGUCAACAUCAAUUUCUUUUGUUGUAAAAGGGUAUGAGGAAGGUGGCUUUCUCUUUCGGCGCAAGUGUUUAUAGCCUUGUAGCCUCUGCAAUCGGAGAGAUUGAGGUCUGCAGCGUAGAUCCUUCGGGGUUAGAUACAGUUUGUGCUAAGCUAUAGCCUUUUAUAGACAACUUGUUGACUAUGCUCUAGUCAUGUAGCUUACUCGCUGACUGCUAUUUUACCUACGCUUAGGAUGUUGACAGCAGUAUAGACUGU